rnacentral:rRNA from 1 species
UGGGGAAUAUUGCACAAUGGGCGCAAGCCUGAUGCAGCCAUGCCGCGUGUAUGAAGAAGGCCUUCGGGUUGUAAAGUACUUUCAGCGGGGAGGAAGGGAGUAAAGUUAAUACCUUUGCUCAUUGACGUUACACGCAGAAGAAGCACCGGCUAACUCCGUGCCAGCAGCCGCGGUAAUACGGAGGGUGCAAGCGUUAAUCGGAAUUACUGGGCGUAAAGCGCACGCAGGCGGUUUGUUAAGUCAGAUGUGAAAUCCCCGGGCUCAACCUGGGAACUGCAUCUGAUACUGGCAAGCUUGAGUCUCGUAGAGGGGGGUAGAAUUCCAGGUGUAGCGGUGAAAUGCGUAGAGAUCUGGAGGAAUACCGGUGGCGAAGGCGGCCCCCUGGACGAAGACUGACGCUCAGGUGCGAAAGCGUGGGGAGCAAACA